rnacentral:rRNA from 1 species
CUGCAUGGCGUGUCGUCAGCUCGUGCCGUGAGGUGUUGGGUUAAGGUCCCGCAACGAGCGCAACCCUAUUUUUAGUUGCCAUCAGGUUAAGCUGGGCACUCUAAAGAGACUGCCGUCGAUAAGGCGGAGGAAGGUGGGGACGACGUCAAGUCAUCAUGGCCCUUAUGUCUAGGGCUACACACGUGCUACAAUGGGUUAUACAGAGGGCAGCUAGCUCGCGAGAGUCUGCGAAUCCCUUAAAGUAAUCCUCAGUUCGGAUUGUAGUCUGCAACUCGACUACAUGAAGUUGGAAUCGCUAGUAAUCGCAGGUCAGCAAAACUGCGGUGAAUACGUUCCCGGGCCUU